rnacentral:rRNA from 1 species
CAGUAGCCGCGGGAAAACGAAGGGUGCAAGCGUUACUCGGAAUUACUGGGCGUAAAGCGUGCGUAGGUGGUGGUUUAAGUCCGUUGUGAAAGCCCUGGGCUCAACCUGGGAAUUGCAGUGGAUACUGGGUCACUAGAGUGUGGUAGAGGAUAGUGGAAUUUCCGGUGUAGCAGUGAAAUGCGUAGAGAUCGGAAGGAACAUCUGUGGCGAAGGCGACUAUCUGGGCCAACACUGACACUGAGGCACGAAAGCGUGGGGAGCAAACAGGAUUAGAUACCCGAGUAGUCCCUGUCUCUUAUAC